AUUGAACGCUGGCGGCAGGCCUAACACAUGCAAGUCGAGCGAGCGGCGGACGGGUGAGUAAUGUAUGGGGACUGCCCGAUAGAGGGGGAUAACUACUGGAAACGGUAGCUAAUACCGCAUACUAUCGGAUAACCCAUAUGGGAUUAGCUAGUAGGUGCGGUAAUGGCUCACCUCGGCGACGAUCCCUAUCUGGUCUGAGAGGAUGGUCAGCCACACUGGGACUGAGAAACGGCCCAGACUCCAAAGGAGGCAGCAGUGGGGAAUAUUGCACAAUGGGCGCAAGCGUGGUGCAGACAUGCCGCGUGUAUGAAGAAGGCCCUAGGGUUUUAAAGUACUUUCAGUCGGGAGGAGGUACCGAAAGAAGAAGCACCGGCUAACUCCGUGCCAGCAGCCGCGGUAAUAC
rnacentral:rRNA from 1 species